rnacentral:sRNA from 1 species
GCCGGGUGCGGUGGCCCAUGCCUAUAAUCCCAGCAGCUCAGGAGGCUGAGGCAGGAGGAUUGCAAGUUCAAAGCCAGUCUCAGCAAAAGCAAGGCGCUAAGCAAGUCAGUGAGAUCCUAUCUCUA